CAAUAGCGUAUAUUUAAGUUGUUGCAGUUAAAAAGCUCGUAGUUGGAUUUCGGAUGGGAUUUGCCGGUCCGUCGUUACGAUGUACACUGGCCAGUCCUAUCUUGUUGUCGGGGACUAGCUCCUUGGAUUCACUUCCUGGGACUAGGAGCUGACGAGGUUACUUUGAGUAAAUUAGAGUGUUCAAAGCAAGCCUACGCUCUGAAUACAUUAGCAUGGAAUAACACGAUAGGACUCUGGCUUAUCUUGUUGGUCUGUGAGACCAGAGUAAUGAUUAAGAGGGACAGUCGGGGACAUUCGUAUUUCAUUGUCAGAGGUGAAAUUCUUGGAUUUAUGAAAGACGAACUUCUGCGAAAGCAUUUGUCAAGGAUGUUUUCAUUAA
rnacentral:rRNA from 1 species